rnacentral:misc_RNA from 1 species
UCCGGCUUAUCACCGGCAGUUCCCCUAAAGUGCCCACCACGACGUGCUGGCAACCAAGGGUGUGGGUUGCGCUCGUUGCCGGACUUAACCGAACAUCUCACGACACGAGCUGACGACAACCAUGCACCACCUGUAAACCGGCCACAAGUGGCUGACACAUCUCUGCAUCAUUCCGGUUCAUGUCAAGCCUUGGUAAGGUUCUUCGCGUUGCAUCGAAUUAAACCACAUGCUCCACCGCUUGUGCGGGCCCCCGUCAAUUCCUUUGAGUUUUAGCCUUGCGGCCGUACUCCCCAGGCGGGGCACUUAAUGCGUUAGCUACGGCACGGAACCCGUCGAUAGGGUCCCACACCUAGUGCCCAACGUUUACGGCGUGGACUAC